rnacentral:rRNA from 1 species
UACGAAGGGGGCUAGCGUUGUUCGGAAUCACUGGGCGUAAAGGGUGCGUAGGCGGGUCCUUAAGUCAGGGGGGAAAUCCUGGAGCUCAACUCCAGAACUGCCUUUGAUACUGAAGAUCUUGAGUUCGGGAGAGGUGAGUGGAACUGCGAGUGUAGAGGUGAAAUUCGUAGAUAUUCGCAAGAACACCAGUGGCGAAGGCGGCUCACUGGCCCGAUACUGACGCUGAGGCACGAAAGCGUGGGGAGCAAACAGG